rnacentral:rRNA from 1 species
UACGGGGGGGGGCAAGCGUUGUUCGGAUUCAUUGGGCGUAAAGGGUGUGUAGGUGGCGCCGUAAGUCGGGUGUGAAAUUUCGGAGCUUAACUCCGAAACUGCAUUCGAUACUGCGGUGCUUGAGGACUGGAGAGGAGACUGGAAUUCAUGGUGUAGCAGUGAAAUGCGUAGAGAUCAUGAGGAACACCAAUUGCGAAGGCAGCUCGCUGGGACGUAACUGACGCUGAGACGCGAAAGCGUGGGGAGCAAACAGG